GAUGAACGCUGGCGGCGUGCCUAAUACAUGCCAGUCGAGCGAACAGACGAGGGGCUUGCUCCUCUGACGUUAGCGGCGGACGGGUGAGUAACACGUGGAUAACCUACCUAUAAGACUGGGAUAACUUCGGGAAACCGGAGCUAAUACCGGAUAAUAUAUUGAACCGCAUGGUUCAAUAGUGAAAGACGGUUUUGCCGUCACUUAUAGAUGGAUCCGCGCCGCAUUAGCUAGUUGGUAAGGUAACGGCUUACCAAGGCGACGAUGCGUAGCCGACCUGAGAGGGUGAUCGGCCACACUGGAACUGAGACACGGUCCAGACUCCUACGGGAGGCAGCAGUAGGGAAUCUUCCGCAAUGGGCGAAAGCCUGACGGAGCAACGCCGCGUGAGUGAUGAAGGUCUUCGGAUCGUAAAACUCUGUUAUUAGGGAAGAACAAAUGUGUAAGUAACUAUGCACGUCUUGACGGUACCUAAUCAGAAAGCCACGGCUAACUACGUG
rnacentral:rRNA from 1 species